rnacentral:lncRNA from 1 species
AAUUUUAGCAAUUUAGAUUUUUUUUUUUAAAUUCUAGAAUCAGGCAACUCAUCAUUCCAUAAAGCAGAAGGAAUGUUCGGGUAGGCUGAGCAGGGAGGGCAGCUUCGUGACAGAGAAGAGCUGAAGAAAGCAGAAACAAAGAACAGAAGGUGCUGAAUAUAAUAACAUUCCCAGAGCCCCUGAUCCUGGGAGAGCAGUGUUGGCAGCGUUGUAAGGAAGAGACCAGCAAGGCAGGAGGACAUAGUUCCAAGUACUGGGGAUUUGCUUGCUUUCCAUGGACUCCUAUCUUGCGACAUCUUUCGUAUGACAGAGACAUGGAUUUGUUUCUUUGA